rnacentral:rRNA from 1 species
UACGGCGGUCACAGCGAAGGGGAAACGCCCGGUCCCAUUCCGAACCCGGAAGCUAAGCCCUUCAGCGCCGAUGGUACUGCGCGGGGGACCGCGUGGGAGAGUAGGUCGCCGCCGUGC